rnacentral:lncRNA from 1 species
ACAGGCUGUAUGGGAAGCAUGGCUGGGGAGGCCUCAUGAAACUUAUAAUCAUGGUGCAAGGUGAAGAGGAAGGAGACAUGCUUUACAAGGCCACAGCAGGAGGAAGACAGUGAAGGGGGCGGUGCUACAUACUACAAACAACCAGAUCUUAUGAUAACAUUUACUUACUGCUUCACUGACAUAAGGACCAGCCCUCGAGAAGAAUAUACAGCGGAGUAGUUGCCAGCAACCUUCCUGCCAACUUGGCCCAAGAUUUCUCAAGGGAUACUGAAACAGAUUAAUGAUGAUUCUAUUUGUGGAUUCUGCAUUAUGAUUAAUGACCUAGCCGAGAGUCACUAGAAUACUUUUGUGUCCAUGGGAUUAUACGAUUAUUUCCAAGGCCAUCUGAGGACCUCAUAACGGCAGGAGACAGUGAGGAACAGUAUGACUCUUUCUUUCUGUGUAAUGUUUAGGGAUGUGAUUUGUUAAAAACAGAUGAAAAAAUC